UGCACAAUUGAUGGUAUGCAAUGUAGCUCCAAUUGAUUCCUAUAUUUUAAAUGAUGAGCUAUAUCUAAUACAUCCUGGUGUACUUGUUUAGUCAAAGAAGAUUUCCCGUGAAGAAUUUGAGGGGAAGUUGAGGUUGAUUACUGGAGACAAUAUAAUAAUAUCUGCAUUAACUAUUCUUCAACUCAAGGGAAAAGAUUUUAGUACUCCUUCAAAUAACCGAAGAAUACCAAAAUCCCCUUGGACAUCUUUUCGUACGCUUUUAGAUGCCAUCAGAAACAUGGUUCCGUCCAAUAUUAUGGAUCAAAUCACUGGAUAUUAUGAAAAAUUGGUGACAAAGAAGAUUUCACGUGAUGAAUUUGUGCGGAAGAUGAGGUUUAUUGUUGGAGAUAACAUAAUGAAAGCUGCAAUAACUUAUAGUCAUUUCAAGAGAGCAUCAGGCGGUGGGGGAUCAAACGGUUCAAACAUUAAGCAAGAGUAGGCAUUCAGAUGAGGAAGAGGAGGAGAUCUUUCACUUGGAGUUAACUAUUGCCAACAUUAAGUUGUGAUAUUAUUUCCUCCUAUGAGAAUUAGUUUUUAUUUCAUUUUAUCGUCAUAAUUUUCAGUGUCGGUCUGGAAUGGUAACACAUGUUUGCUACUAGAACUUCAGAACAAUUUAUUUUGAAAUGUUUGGUGAUAUG